rnacentral:rRNA from 1 species
CUACGGGGUGCACCAGUGAGGAAUAUUGCACAAUGGGGGGAACCCUGAUGCAGCAACGCCGCGUGGAGGAUGACACAUUUCGGUGCGUAAACUCCUUUUAUAGGUCAAGAUAAUGACGGUAGCCUAUGAAUAAGCGCCGGCUAACUCCGUGCCAGCAGCCGCGGUAAUACGGAGGGCGCAAGCGUUACUCGGAAUCACUGGGCGUAAAGGACGCGUAGGCUGUUUAGCAAGUCAGAUGUGAAAUCCAAUGGCUCAACCAUUGAACUGCAUUUGAAACUGCUAGACUAGAGUAUGGGAGGGGGAGAUGGAAUUAGUGGUGUAGGGGUAAUAUCCGUAGAUAUCACUAGGAAUACCUAAAGCGAAGGCGAUCUCCUGGAACAUUACUGACGCUAAGGCGUGAAAGCGUGGGGAGCAAACAGGAUUAGAUACCCCGGUAGUC